AGGUUUUGUGCUCUGUAAAUUAAAUCAAUGCGACAGGCAUAAUCCCGUUCAGUAAGAUCAGUUUGCUUAGUUUUUUCCAGCCACUCAGAGAACUGUAAUGCCUUCCAAUACAUUCGUCUCUUCUUCAAACUAACUAUGAUCAUUGAAAUCCCAUUUUGGCUCAAUUUAUUGCCUUCUUCAGCCCACUUCUUAAGAAUAUCAG
rnacentral:misc_RNA from 1 species